rnacentral:rRNA from 1 species
CCUACGGGGGGCAGCAGUGGGGAAUUUUGCGCAAUGGGGGCAACCCUGACGCAGCGACGCCGCGUGGGUGAUGAAGGCCUUCGGGUUGUAAAGCCCUGUCUAGGGGGAAGAUAGUGACGGUACCCCUGGAGGAAGCCCCGGCUAACUACGUGCCAGCAGCCGCGGUAAUACGUAGGGGGCGAGCGUUGUCCGGAAUUACUGGGCGUAAAGGGCGUGUAGGCGGCCAAGCAAGUCAGCUGUGAAACACCCCGGCUCAACCGUGGUUCUGCAGUUGAAACUGCGUGGCUUGAGUGCAGGAGAGGAGGGUGGAAUUCCUGGUGUAGCGGUGAAAUGCGUAGAUAUCAGGAGGAACACCGGUGGCGAAGGCGACCUUCUGGCCUGUUACUGACGCUGAGGCGCGAAAGCUAGGGGAGCGAACAGGAUUAGAUACCCUUGUAGUC